rnacentral:rRNA from 1 species
GACGAACGCUGGCGGCGUGCUUAACACAUGCAAGUCGAACGGAAAGGCCCUGCUUUUGUGGGGUGCUCGAGUGGCGAACGGGUGAGUAAAACGUGAGUAACAUGCCCUUGACUUUGGGAUAACUUCAGGAAACAGGGGCUAAUACCGGAUAGGAGCUCCUGCUGCAUGGUGGGGGUUGGAAAGUUUCGGCGGUUGGGGAUGGACUCGCGGCUUAUCAGCUUGUUUGUGGGGUAGUGGCUUACCAAGGCUUUGACGGGUAGCCGGCCUGAGAGGGUGACCGGCCCCAUUGGGACUGAGAUACGGCCCAGACUCCUACGGGAGGCAGCAGUGGGGAGUAUUGCACAGUGGGCGGAAGCCUGAUGCAGCAACGCCGCGUGCGGGAUGACGGCCUUCUGGUUGUAAACCACUUUCGCCUGUGACGAAGCGUGAGUGACGGUAAUGGGUAAAGAAGCACCGGCUAACUACGUG